rnacentral:rRNA from 1 species
UACAGAGGUCUCAAGCGUUGUUCGGAUUCACUGGGCGUAAAGGGUGCGUAGGCGGUCGGAUAAGUCUGACGUGAAAUCUCCGGGCCUAACCCGGAAACUGCGUUGGAUACUAUCCGGCUAGAGGAAUGGAGGGGAGACUGGAAUACUUGGUGUAGCAGUGAAAUGCGUAGAUAUCAAGUGGAACACCAGUGGCGAAGGCGAGUCUCUGGACAUUUCCUGACGCUGAGGCACGAAAGCCAGGGGAGCAAACGGG